rnacentral:rRNA from 1 species
UACAGAGGUGGCAAGCGUUGUUCGGAAUUACUGGGCGUAAAGGGCGCGUAGGCGGUCCCGUCAGUCCCUUGUGAAAUCCCCGGGCUCAACCCGGGAACUGCGUCCGAGACUGGCGGGCUUGAAUCCGGGAGAGGGAUGCGGAAUUCCAGGUGUAGCGGUGAAAUGCGUAGAUAUCUGGAGGAACACCGGUGGCGAAGGCGGCAUCCUGGACCGGCAUUGACGCUGAGGCGCGAAAGCCAGGGGAGCAAACGGG